rnacentral:rRNA from 1 species
AUGAACGCUGGCGGCGUGCCUAAUACAUGCAAGUCGAGCGAACGGACGAGAAGCUUGCUUCUCUGAUGUUAGCGGCGGACGGGUGAGUAACACGUGGAUAACCUACCUAUAAGACUGGGAUAACUUCGGGAAACCGGAGCUAAUACCGGAUAAUAUUUUGAACCGCAUGGUUCAAAAGUGAAAGACGGUCUUGCUGUCACUUAUAGAUGGAUCCGCGCUGCAUUAGCUAGUUGGUAAGGUAACGGCUUACCAAGGCAACGAUGCAUAGCCGACCUGAGAGGGUGAUCGGCCACACUGGAACUGAGACACGGUCCAGACUCCUACGGGAGGCAGCAGUAGGGAAUCUUCCGCAAUGGGCGAAAGCCUGACGGAGCAACGCCGCGUGAGUGAUGAAGGUCUUCGGAUCGUAAAACUCUGUUAUUAGGGAAGAACAUAUGUGUAAGUAACUGUGCACAUCUUGACGGUACCUAAUCAGAAAGCCACGGCUAACUACGUGCCAGCAGCCGCGGUAAUACGUAGGUGGCAAGCGUUAUCCGGAAUUAUUGGGCGUAAAGCGCGCGUAGGCGGUUUUUUAAGUCUGAUGUGAAAGCCCACGGCUCAACCGUGGAGGGUCAUUGGAAACUGGAAAACUUGAGUGCAGAAGAGGAAAGUGGAAUUCCAUGUGUAGCGGUGAAAUGCGCAGAGAUAUGGAGGAACACCAGUGGCGAAGGCGACUUUCUGGUCUGUAACUGACGCUGAUGUGCGAAAGCGUGGGGAUCAAACAGGAUUAGAUACCCUGGUAGUCCACGCCGUAAACGAUGAGUGCUAAGUGUUAGGGGGUUUCCGCCCCUUAGUGCUGCAGCUAACGCAUUAAGCACUCCGCCUGGGGAGUACGACCGCAAGGUUGAAACUCAAAGGAAUUGACGGGGACCCGCACAAGCGGUGGAGCAUGUGGUUUAAUUCGAAGCAACGCGAAGAACCUUACCAAAUCUUGACAUCCUUUGACAACUCUAGAGAUAGAGCCUUCCCCUUCGGGGGACAAAGUGACAGGUGGUGCAUGGUUGUCGUCAGCUCGUGUCGUGAGAUGUUGGGUUAAGUCCCGCAACGAGCGCAACCCUUAAGCUUAGUUGCCAUCAUUAAGUUGGGCACUCUAAGUUGACUGCCGGUGACAAACCGGAGGAAGGUGGGGAUGACGUCAAAUCAUCAUGCCCCUUAUGAUUUGGGCUACACACGUGC